rnacentral:rRNA from 1 species
UACGGAGGGGGCUAGCGUUGUUCGGAAUUACUGGGCGUAAAGAGCUCGUAGGCGGUUUGUCGCGUCUGCCGUGAAAGUCCGGGGCUCAACUCCGGAUCUGCGGUGGGUACGGGCAGACUAGAGUGAUGUAGGGGAGACUGGAAUUCCUGGUGUAGCGGUGAAAUGCGCAGAUAUCAGGAGGAACACCGAUGGCGAAGGCAGGUCUCUGGGCAUUAACUGACGCUGAGGAGCGAAAGCAUGGGGAGCGAACAGG